AGUGGCGAACGGGUGAGUAACACGUGACUACCUGCCCUUGAGUGGGGGAUAACCCGGGAAACCGGGGCUAAUACCGCAUAAUCGCAAGCAAAGGAGCGCUUUUGGAGGGGGUCGCGGCUGAUUAGCUAGUUGGUAGGGUAAUGGCCUACCAAGGCGAAGAUCGGUAGCCGGCCUGAGAGGGCGCACGGCCACACUGGAACUGAAACACGGUCCAGACUCCUACGGGAGGCAGCAGUGGGGAAUUUUGCGCAAUGGGGGAAACCCUGACGCAGCAACGCCGCGUGGAGGAUGAAGCCCCUUGGGGCGUAAACUCCUUUCGACCGGGACGAUUGACGGUACCGGUGGAAGAAGCACCGGCUAACUCUG
rnacentral:rRNA from 1 species